rnacentral:misc_RNA from 1 species
GCAUCAACAUAUGUGCCCCAAGCCAUCCAAUUGACAAUCUACACCAUUCUAAUUAGCUUAUGACAUUAGCAAAGCUUCUUACUCUGCUGACAGUGAAAAAGAAACAAAGAUCCGGAACAUUAUCAUUUUAAAAUUUCAAGACAAAAACAAAACCUAGUAAAAAGAACAAUAAGCACGCAUUUUUUUUUAUCGAAUUCUUCACUUGUCAUUAUAAUUGCAUAGAGGAAUUAAAUAAAGCUCCAACUAAGGCAGCAUUAUCAAUUCCAAUUUUCAAUUGAUUUCAAAAUUUCACAUAAUGCAGAGAAUGUAAUGAGCAAGUGUCUAGU